UACGAAGGGGGCUAGCGUUGCUCGGAAUCACUGGGCGUAAAGCGCACGUAGGCGGCUUUUUAAGUCAGGGGUGAAAUCCUGGAGCUCAACUCCAGAACUGCCUUUGAUACUGGGAGCUCGAGUCCGGGAGAGGUGAGUGGAACUCCGAGUGUAGAGGUGAAAUUCGUAGAUAUUCGGAAGAACACCAGUGGCGAAGGCGGCUACACUCGGCCCGGUACUGACGCUGAGG
rnacentral:rRNA from 1 species